ACAAAAAGAAUGAAGAAUUUGUCCAAAAGAAUGGGCCCUUAAGGCCAUCGAAUCCCACUUGGGUGCAUAACAUUAAAGAGGAAAAGAAUGGGCCGGAAAACCUAAAGGGCCCAGGUGAGGAAACUCCAGUCCGGUCCAAUCGAACACCUGGACUGGAUCGAAACAAAUUCCUCCCCAAAAUCCUGGGUGGAAAUGGAAGAGGACAAGAACCUUCCUGAUUCCAACGAUCAUAUUGCUAUGGGUUUCCCAAGGACUUGGUCAUUAAUGCAGGAAGGAAAAUGAAAAGCAAUAAAAACAUUGGAUAGCGAGAAACGUCAGCAUUAAAAGACUUUUGGAGCUUUCAUCAUGACUAAAAACUUAUAUUCCCCAAACGAGACUAAUGGACACCAUAAGAAGACCCUCUUCGGAUCUCUCUCUCCCAAUCUCAAUGAACCAUUACAUUCCUUCUCCUCUGUUAUUAAGAAAACUAAGCGUAAAAAAUGCAUCACAAUCUUAGAACUCGCCUUUCUCUCUAAUCUAACCGCCACUCUUCAAAUCUCUGCUCUUCACGUUUCUUAAACGCACAGAUUCUCAAUCAAUCAAACACAAUAACACCACGUACUUAGAUCUAAGAUGAGCUUUAAUCGGGACCUCAAACGACAACGAGUAGAAUAAACAACACAAAUAGACUUCAAAUUCAAGAGAAUAAAGGAGAAAUCAAAGGUUUAAGCUACCACAGUCACCUAGUUUAUCAUGAAGCAUAUAAAUGAUGAUUGGGAGAAGAAAAAGAGAAAACCAGACCUUGGGAAAAGGCGUUUCCGGCGAGCGUGAAAGAUGGAUCCGGAUCUGGGGAUCCCCAUUUUCAGUGGAUUCACUCUCUUUUUAUAAAGGGGUGGUACGGGGUUUGUGUAUGGUAUGAGCUGGCAAAUCCAGCAAAUCAUUCCGUUAGGCAAAUGAGUUCCUUUUGGAUUUUGUUUUGAUCCUUGCGUGAAGGCAAUGCGUACGAAUCUGUUGGUAGAAAGAUUUUUCCAGAUAUGCGGUCCCUCUUGUUGAAUCCUUUGUUGAAUUAUUACCACGGUAAAACAUAUACGUUGUGAUGUAAAUUCGAUUCCUUUUUACUGUUAUGUAACAUUUUAUUUGUUACUGAUGUGUGUCUUUAAAUACUCCUUAAUUCGAAACAUUUGCGUCCUUAUUUUAAAAACCUAUCUUUUUCAUGCUUUUCCACGUACUAUCUUCAUGUUGGCUUUGUGAUUUGGAAAUAUAUCAAGGGCCAUUUGGAAUGCUCCAAAUGAUACACCUGAUUUAUUUUGCAAGAAGGACUGAUUAAGCUGUGGAAUACAAGUAGGUGAUCUUAAAGCCAUGCAUACACCCCAUUUUCACAUCUAUAUAUUACUUCAACGUCCAUGCCAACGCGUAUUCUGCAACAUGUUAUGUGAACGUUGGUUUGGUUUUGGUUUUGUGACAGGUUUUCUUGGCAAGGUUGCAGGAAUUAGUAACAGAAUUAAACAAUGUAUUCCAUUGUAUUUGGAUCAAUGUAAAACCUGUCGUUGAUCGUGAUACCAUAACAGGUCUUGGCCCUUCAGACUAAAAGGGACUAAUUGAAACCCCCCUUUCUCCAAUGAUGGAGUUCACAGUUGAAGACUUCCCAACGCUAUCUUUCCCCAUCAUAAGUAUGGUUAAGGAGUUCACAUCCUCUUGUUUAAGGUUUCCCUAGAGCUCAAGAAACUUGGUCUAUGUAGCAGGAGCGAAUGUGUUGAUUCCUGGUCAUUCACGGACAGUUUAUUGUUGUGAAGCCAUAAUGUUCUAGGGAAAUACAGGGAAAUGGUCGUUAGUUUGGAGGCAUGUCCUUGAUACAUACAGCUUAUAAUCCAAGUUCACUAUGCUUCUUUCUCGCCGAGUGAUUUCAGAUUUCUUAGCCCUUCUAUGGUCAUGAGCUAGAUUGUUUGGCAAUGUUGACUGUUAAUGGUGUUAGUUAUGUAAAGUUUAAAAAUGAUAUAUAUGCACUGACUUUUGGUUGUGUUCUUGGCCUGCUGCUAAUGGAAUAACUCUGCAGAACCUUGUAAAACA